GACGAACGCUGGCGGCGUGCUUAACACAUGCAAGUCGAACGGAAAGGCCCUGCUUUUGUGGGGUGCUCGAGUGGCGAACGGGUGAGUAACACGUGCGUAACCUGCCCUUGACUUUGGGAUAACUUCAGGAAACUGGGGCUAAUACCGGAUAGGAGCUCCUGCUGCAUGGUGGGGGUUGGAAAGUUUCGGCGGUUGGGGAUGGACUCGCGGCUUAUCAGCUUGUUGGUGGGGUAGUGGCUUACCAAGGCUUUUACGGGUAGCCGGCCUGAGGGGGUGACCGGCCACAUUGGGACUGAGAUACGGCCCAGACUCCUACGGGAGGCAGCAGUGGGGAAUAUUGCACAAUGGGCGGAAGCCUGAUGCAGCAACGCCGCGUGCGGGAUUACGGCCUUCGGGUUGUAAACCGCUUUCGCCUGUGACGAAGCGUGAGUGACGGUAAUGGGUAAAGAAGCACCGGCUAACUACGUG
rnacentral:rRNA from 1 species